rnacentral:rRNA from 1 species
UACGGAGGAUCCAAACGUUAUUCGGAUUUACUGGGCUUAAAGAGUUCGUAGGCGGUCCGUCAAGUGGGGUGUGAAAUCCCUCGGCUCAACCGAGGAAUUGCGCUCCAAACUGUCGGGCUCGAGGGAGAUAGAGGUGAGCAGAACUGAUGGUGGAGCGGUGAAAUGCGUUGAUAUCAUCAGGAAUACCAGAGGCGAAGGCGGCUCACUGGAUCUCUUCUGACGCUGAGGAACGAAAGCUAGGGGAGCAAACGGG